rnacentral:rRNA from 1 species
AGCGAACGCUGGCGGCAGGCCUAACACAUGCAAGUCGAACGAACUCUUCGGAGUUAGUGGCGGACGGGUGAGUAACACGUGGGAACGUGCCUUUAGGUUCGGAAUAACUCAGGGAAACUUGUGCUAAUACCGAAUGUGCCCUUCGGGGGAAAGAUUUAUCGCCUUUAGAGCGGCCCGCGUCUGAUUAGCUAGUUGGUGAGGUAAAGGCUCACCAAGGCGACGAUCAGUAGCUGGUCUGAGAGGAUGAUCAGCCACAUUGGGACUGAGACACGGCCCAAACCCCUACGGGGGGCAGGAGGGGGGAAUCUUGGGCAAGGGGCGAAAGCCUGACGCAGCCAGGCCGGGGGAAUGAUGAAGGUCUUAGGAUUGUAAAAUUCUUUCACCGGGGACGAUAAGGCCGGUACCCGGAAAAGAAGCCCCGGCAAAUUUCGU